GGAGUCUGGGCCGUGUCUCAGUCCCAAUGUGGCCGUUCAUCCUCUCAGAUCGGCUACUGAUCGUCGCCUUGGUGAGCCGUUACCUCACCAACUAGCUAAUCAGACGCGGGUCCAUCUUGUACCACCGGAGUUUUUCACACUGCAUCAUGCGAUGCUGUGCGCUUAUGCGGUAUUAGCAGCCGUUUCCAACUGUUGUCCCCCUGUACAAGGCAGGUUACCCACGCGUUACUCACCCGUCCGCCACUAAGUCAAUAAAUCGUCACCCCGAAGGGAUCGUAAAAAAUUGCUUCGUUCGACUUGCAUGUGUUAAGCACGCCGCCAGCGUUCAUC
rnacentral:rRNA from 1 species